CUGGUUAAUUGGUGGGUAGUAACAGAGGGUUUGAUUCUGGCUCAGAUUGAACGCUGGCGGGAUGCUUACACACGCAAGUCGAACGGCAGCACGGACUUCGGUCUGGUGGCGAGUGGCGAACGGGUGAGUAAUGUAUCGGAACGUGCCUAGUAGCGGGGGAUAACUACGAAAGCGUAGCUAAUACCGCAUACGCCCUCGGGGGAAAGCGGGGACCUUCGGGCCUCGCACUAUUAGAGCGGCUGAUAUCGGAUUAGCUAGUUGGGGUAACGGCUCACCAAGGCGACGAUCCGUAGCUGGUUUGAGAGGACGACCAGCCACACUGGGACUGAGACACGGCCCAGACUCUACGGGAGGCAGCAGGGGAAUUUUGGACAAUGGGGGAAACCUGAUCCAGCCAUCCUGGCAAAGGAUGAAGCGCUCGGGUUGUAAAGCACUUUUUUUGGUAGGAAAGAAACGCCGAUAAUACCCGUGCAACUGACGGUACCUGCAGAAUAAGCACCGGCUAACUACGUGCCAGCAGCCGCGGUAAUACGUAGGGUGCAAGCGUUAAUCGGAAUUACUGGGCGUAAAGUGUGCGCAGGCGGUUCGGAAAGAAAGAUGUGAAAUCCCAGAGCUUAACUUUGGAACUGCAUUUAACUACCGAGCUAGAGCGUACGAGGAGGUGGAAUCGCGGUGGCAGUGGGAAUGCGUAGAUAUGCGGAGGAACACCGAUGGCGAAGGCAGCCUCCUGGGAUAACACUGACGCUCAUGCACGAAAGCGUGGGGAGCAAACAGGAUUAGAUACUCCGGUAGUCCACGCCUCAAACGAUGUCAACUAGCUGCUGUUGGGGCCUUCUGGCCGGUAGCGCAGCUAACGCGUGAAGUUGACCGCCUGGGGAGUACGGUCGCAAGAUUAAAACUCAAAGGAAUUGACGGGACCCGCACAAGCGGUGGAUGAUGAUUAAUUCGAUGCAACGCGAAAACCCCACUCACCCUUGACAUGCCCGGAAUCCUGAAGAGAUUUGGGAUAAGCCGUAAAGAGAACCGAACACAGGUGCUGCAUAUUGCCGUCAGCUCGUGUCGUGAGAUGCUGGGUUAAGUCCGCAACGAGCGCAACCCUACGCUAGCUACGAAAGGGCACUCUAAUGAGACUGCCGGUGACAAACCGGAGGAAGGUGGGGAUGACGUCAAGUCCUCAUGGUCUUUAUGGUAGGGCUUCACACGUCAUACAAUGGUCGGGACAGAGGGUCGCCAACCCGCGAGGGGGAGCCAUCCCAGAAACCUGAUCGUAGUCCGAUCGCAGUCUGCAACUCGACUGCGUGAAGUCGGAAUCGCUAGUAAUCGCGGAUCAGCAUGUCGCGGUGAAUAUUGCUCCCGGGUCUUGUACACACCGCCCGUCACACCAUGGGGAGUGGGUUUUACCAGAAGGGUUAGCCUAACCGUAAGGAGGGCGAUUACCACGGUAGGAUUCAUGACUGGAGUGAAGUCGUAACAAGGUAG
rnacentral:rRNA from 1 species